rnacentral:rRNA from 1 species
UUUCUUUGCUGGCGACCGGCGCACGGGUGAGUAACACGUAUCCAACCUGCCCUUUACUCGGGGAUAGCCUUUCGAAAGAAAGAUUAAUACCCGAUAGCAUAAUGAUUCCGCAUGGUUUCAUUAUUAAAGGAUUCCGGUAAAGGAUGGGGAUGCGUUCCAUUAGGUUGUUGGUGAGGUAACGGCUCACCUAGUCUUCGAUGGAUAGGGGUUCUGAGAGGAAGGUCCCCCACAUUGGAACUGAGACACGGUCCAA